rnacentral:rRNA from 1 species
CACGUAGGCGGACUCUUAAGUCAGGGGUGAAAUCCUGGAGCUCAACUCCAGAACUGCCUUUGAUACUGGGAGUCUUGAGUUCGGGAGAGGUGAGUGGAACUGCGAGUGUAGAGGUGAAAUUCGUAGAUAUUCGCAAGAACACCAGUGGCGAAGGCGGCUCACUGGCCCGAUACUGACGCUGAGGUGACGAAAGCGUGGGAGCAAACA